rnacentral:rRNA from 1 species
GGAAUCUUCCGCAAUGGGCGAAAGCCUGACGGAGCAACGCCGCGUGAGUGAAGAAGGUCUUCGGAUCGUAAAGCUCUGUUGUCGGGGACGAAGGGGCAGAUCAGGAAAUGGGUCUGCUUAGACGGUACCUGACGAGGAAGCCACGGCUAACUACGUGCCAGCAGCCGCGGUAAUACGUAGGUGGCAAGCGUUAUCCGGAUUUAUUGGGCGUAAAGCGAGCGCAGGCGGUUUGAUAAGUCUGAUGUGAAAGCCUUUGGCUUAACCAAAGAAGUGCAUCGGAAACUGUCAGACUUGAGUGCAGAAGAGGACAGUGGAACUCCAUGUGUAGCGGUGGAAUGCGUAGAUAUAUGGAAGAACACCAGUGGCGAAGGCGGCUGUCUGGUCUGCAACUGACGCUGAGGCUCGAAAGCAUGGGUAGCGAACA